rnacentral:rRNA from 1 species
UGCGGUGACAAUAGCGGUGAAAUACCCCUUCCCAUUUUGAACACGGAAGUUGAGCUCUUCAGCGCCGAUGAUACUUCGUGGGAAAGUAGGACGUCGCCGUAA